rnacentral:lncRNA from 1 species
CUUCUUGCUGCAAUGCAUCUCCUUGAAAAGAUAUAUUGCACUAGGUUCUGCACCCUUAUAUUUUUGUUGCUUAUGAAAUGAUAUAAAACGAGUCCGGUGAGAAUGGUGGUCAUGAAAUAAGGUACAUGUUGAAUUUCGAAAUAACAAUUUAAAAGGCAUUUUAGAUAUGAGCAGUGCUAAAACAUUUAAAUGAAAUGUUAUGAAAGCAUCCUCCAAGUCAGAUGGGUCAAUAACAAAAAUAAAUACAAUUCAUCCAAAUGGAAUAAUUAGGACAUCACAAUCAUAUGUCAAGAAAUAAAAAAAACACCUCAGCAUAGUUGUGUCCAUCAGUAAAAGAGCAUAUGCCAUGCUUAGUUAAUCAUUCCAGCAAUAAAAGAGCAUAUGUCAUGCUUAGUUAAUCAUUGUGUUCAAGGUGGGCUACAAUUGUCUAUCAGGUGAGAAGAUAAAUUGAAUUAGGAAGUAUGAAUAGUACUGGUAGCUUACAUACCAAAUGAAAAUGUUUAUUUUUUUUAAACUAUCCAUUUGAUAGACCUCCAGAGAACAACAGAAUGGAGACGCCCUCUCUCUUAUCUAUCAGCUGAAGCCUCAAGGAUUCCUUUCCAGUGUUUUCAUAAUCACGAUUUGUGUAGUUUGCAAAUUGGAACUACCAAAAAUAUGAAGCCUCCAUCAGGCGUAUGUUCAGGUAAGAGUUAUAAAGUCACCUAAACUUCAUAUAGAGAAACCUAAAGGAAACAACCCAACCUUGAUAGAAGAUGUGCAAAAAAGAGGGGUUCCACCCACUCAUUCUCUAGUGGACAAAUGGAAUCACUAACAAACCCAAGAAAGCAAAAUACGCAAGAUCAAUUUAGUUUUGCAUUUACCAAAAUGCAUGUAGUAUUCUACUGAAGCAAAUAGCAGACAACACAUUAGUUUAUACCUAAAAUUUGCAGGGGAGAAGACUCCAAUCCAGUCAUAUGAUUACCAUGUCCUAUAUGUGACGGUCACCCAUUCUCUGUUCUCCCUCCUACAACAAAUAAAUAAGACAUAAUAUGAUUGCAGCAGAGGAAACCAUUAAGUAGGGUAAUGGGCCAACAUAUAACUCUUGUUCUGCAAAUUUAAGUCUUAUUUGAACAAUCGAGUAUUGAACGCGCAUAUUUCUUAUGACAAUUUGCAAAAUUCAGCCGCGAGUUUGCAAAGGAAGCCCCCAAACUACUAUGCACGCAUCCAUGGAAGAGCUUAGAGCACGCCGAGCCCAUGAACUGAUGCGUCCAGCGCCCACUGGAAUUAGCCUGAAGCGCCAGAGUUUAAGAGGGCUCACCUCCAGGCCAAGAAGGGUCAGCGACGCGUCGACAAAGGCACCCGACUGGGCGCAAUGAUAGCAUGCCAUGCUUAGUUAAUCAUUCCAGCAAUAAAAGAGCAUAUGUCAUGCUUAGUUAAUCAUUGUGUUCAAGGUGGGCUACAAUUGUCUAUCAGGUGAGAAGAUAAAUUGAAUUAGGAAGUAUGAAUAGUACUGGUAGCUUACAUACCAAAUGAAAAUGUUUAUUUUUUUUAAACUAUCCAUUUGAUAGACCUCCAGAGAACAACAGAAUGGAGACGCCCUCUCUCUUAUCUAUCAGCUGAAGCCUCAAGGAUCCCUUUCCAGUGUUUUCAUAAUCACGAUUUGUGUAGUUUGCAAAUUGGAACUACCAAAAAUAUGAAGCCUCCAUCAGGCGUAUGUUCAGGUAAGAGUUAUAAACAGGGCCGUUCCUGUGGGGGUGCCCAAGGUGCGGCCGCACCGGGCCCCCAAAAUCAGAGGGCCCCCUAGGUACUAGACGCUAGCAUUUUUUCCUAUUAAACCUAUCUAUUCUAGACACAAAUACACAAUGAGCGAUGCACUAUCAAUCAGUCUCGUUUAGAUUGUUAAACUAAUGUCUCAAUGGCUUAUCGAAUACUACAUUCGUUUUAAAAUAGUAUUUAUUUUUGCUCUAUAUUUUUAUGUUUAUAUUCAACUACAUGAUGAUAAAUCCACUAAAGAAGCAAAACGAAUUUUAUUUUGAUAUAGAGAGAGUAUUAUUUACUAUACACAUGAUGGUUGCAUCGUCAAAGAGAAGCUUUUUAAAAUUGAAAUGUUUUUGUGGACUAUUUAUGGUCAACAAUAACUUAAGAGAGGUUAAAUGGCUUGACGAUUCUAUAUAUCGAAAAAAGUUGUUAUGAAAUUGAUCUCAACGAUAUAAGUGAUGACUUCGUAUCACAAAAUGUUAGAAGAUAUUUUUAAUGAUAUCAGAUGAGAAGUAAAUGUUUUUGACUAUAUAUUACAUUUGUUAUCUUAUAAACAUCAAAAAAGUGCAUAAUAAUUUUUAUACGCUAAAUAUUGUAUGUAUAAUUAUAUAUAUUUGUGUGUGGAUGGGUCCACCAUAUCGAAUUUCGCACUGGGCCCCCGAAAAGUCAGGAACGGCCCUGGUUAUAAAGUCACCUAAACUUCAUAUAGAGAAACCUAAAGGAAACAACCCAACCUUGAUAGAAGAUGUGCAAAAAAGAGGGGUUCCACCCACUCAUUCUCUAGUGGACAAAUGGAAUCACUAACAAACCCAAGAAAGCAAAAUACGCAAGAUCAAUUUAGUUUUGCAUUUACCAAAAUGCAUGUAGUAUUCUACUGAAGCAAAUAGCAGACAACACAUUAGUUUAUACCUAAAAUUUGCAGGGGAGAAGACUCCAAUCCAGUCAUAUGAUUACCAUGUCCUAUAUGUGACGGUCACCCAUUCUCUGUUCUCCCUCCUACAACAAAUAAAUAAGACAUAAUAUGAUUGCAGCAGAGGAAACCAUUAAGUAGGGUAAUGGGCCAACAUAUAACUCUUGUUCUGCAAAUUUAAGUCUUAUUUGAACAAUCGAGUAUUGAACGCGCAUAUUUCUUAUGACAAUUUGCAAAAUUCAGCCGCGAGUUUGCAAAGGAAGCCCCCAAACUACUAUGCACGCAUCCAUGGAAGAGCUUAGAGCACGCCGAGCCCAUGAACUGAUGCGUCCAGCGCCCACUGGAAUUAGCCUGAAGCGCCAGAGUUUAAGAGGGCUCACCUCCAGGCCAAGAAGGGUCAGCGACGCGUCGACAAAGGCACCCGACUGGGCGCAAUGAUAGCACGGUGGAUGGGAAUCCUCGAUAGUGGUGCUAGCCACCUCCCACCAUGGCGCGUCGGGUGCGCUGGUCCAUGGUGAAGAAAAAACAAAGCAUUGCACCUUUUUUAUUUUCUAGAAGUAUACUAAUCCAAAUUCAUAUAUAAGAAGAAGAUAUGUAGAGAUAAUGUUUGAAACAAUAUAAAGGCUUGUAAGGGAAAAUACUAUUUGUGUGCUUGUACCCAAAGCAAUGAAAAAAAUCUAAUAUUGCAAUAUCCUUUUCUAGAACCUGCAAUGAGGAGCAGCAACACGACGACCAAAUUGAUAUGUCUAGUCCAUGGUCAUUAACUAGUCUAGGAACAACAACACUAGGACCAAAAUUAUACAUAAAUUAUAUCUGAGGGCCAAUAUAUUUUGCCAAGUUAUAUGAUUCACUUAUAUCUGAAUAUUCUUUUGAUCUUUACCAUUUACAAGUGCAGAUCCCUGUUAUGCUGCAUUUCAUGAUGAAGAGUGCGGAGUUCCUUUUCACAAUGACAAGUAUGCAAAAAUGACUGGUACUUUUUUCUCAUAACAUCAUCAACUUUGACUAAUCAAGUGCUUCAUAUAAAUUGCAGGAAGUUAUUUGAGCUGCUAGUGCUGUAAGGGCAUUAGCUGAACGGACAUGGCCAACAAUUUUAAAUAAGAAAAACAUAUGGAGGUAUCUCUUUUCAUUUCCUAGUGCUCUUGAACCAUAUUAAUUUGUUUGGGAAUCUUAGCAUUCUACUUGUAUGGUUCACAUGGAAGUUUUCAUGGAUUUUGACCCAGUAUUGGUCUCAAAGUUAAGUUUGUGUAGAACUAUACUAAAUUGUACAUUUUAAAAUAUGUAUAACUUGUAUCACGUAUGGACUGAAGGUUGGUAGCAUCAGAUGUUGACAUCCUAUGUGCAAAAUAUUCUCAACCCAGUCAGUGAAAUUGCUGAAUGUUACAUUAAAGUGUUGACCGUGUGAACAAGACUUUUAUGAUAAUUUAAAUGAGGAAUCAUGAUACUAUAAAAGAGGAAGGGUCGUUGCGCAGGCUGGUAAGUGCAAUAUGUUAAAAGAUGCUAAUUUUCCAGGUUGGUUGUGGUGAGCAACUAUGAUUGAACUACAUUUGGGUCUAAAAAGAUCUCAUUCUAUGCAUACUAUUGACAUACCUUAACCCAUAAUUACAGGCCACAAAAAGGUUUUCACAUAUGCGAGAAACAAUUAAUGGCAUAUAUGCUUUUAUGCACUAUAUAGUGUUCACCAAGUCAGUGCAUCAGAGUUGACCAUAUAUGACCAUAGGUUUCUAAAAUUGAAGAAUGUCAAAAGGUUGGAUCCUAGGAGUGUGAACAUUCAUUGAGACAAUGAUAAAGCGACAUCACAUUGCACAUAAUAGGUAUUAGGUAGCAAUCGAAUAUUCUUAAUAUUCCCUGGUUACAUGAAGGAGCAAUUAUACAUCAGUAACAAAAAAAUGUGAACAUAUUUUAAUAAUAACAUCAUGUCAUCACAAGUGCACCAAAAAUAUGUGAACACAUUUUAAUAAUAACAUCAUCGCUUGCCAGAGGCCAAUGCAUCCACCUCUGCCCCGACCGAGUCACAAAAAUGUUGAAGCCCGAAAUGAACCUAAUCAUUCGAAUUCUUGCUGAGAUUUGCUAGGGAAAGAGCUAGUGAACAAGGAAAUAUACAAGAAAGUGCAAGUUGAAGAGCAGAGGGAGGCAUACCUCAAUGAAUUGAACCCUAGUGACAGAGUACCAGCAGAUCUGGCCAGGCAAGGUUGGAGUCCCCAGCGCUGG